UACAGAGGGGGCAAGCGUUGUUCGGAAUUACUGGGCGUAAAGGGCGCGUAGGCGGCCUGUUAAGUCGAACGUGAAAUCCCCGGGCUCAACCCGGGAACUGCGUCCGAUACUGGCAGGCUUGAAUCCGGGAGAGGGAUGCGGAAUUCCAGGUGUAGCGGUGAAAUGCGUAGAUAUCGAGAGGAACACCUGCGGCGAAGGCGGGUAGCUGGGCCGACACUGACGCUGAUGCGCGAAAGCCAGGGAGCGAAGCGGG
rnacentral:rRNA from 1 species